GCCUGGAUAGAACGUAAAACAUUGACCCUUCUAAUUAUUGAAAGUAACUCCGUCGACACAAUCGAAGCUUCUCACAAGAAACAGUCUGAUCACCUUACCGGCCACGAUAAAUGGAGGCGUUACGGAGUGAGGCUCAAUUCGAAGGGUUGUCUCUAUAGCUUGCAAAACCUGUCACGAUUCCUCAUUGAAUGCAUCUCCAUUACUUCCUUUCGGUGAAUCUUCGACUAUAAAAGAGCUGCGCCUGUUGUACCUCCACUGUCGAGGUUCGCCGUUCUGGGAAGCAAAGAAAUAUGAAGCGCGGUGUCAAGCUUAUGGGUGUAGACAAGGAGAUGGGCAUUAAACUGCUAUCAAGUUCUGUUAUCAAGCAUUACUCCACAGCCAUGGAGAUUGACGAUGAAUAAAUAUCUUAGAUCACAAAUCGUCCUAUUGUCCAGAUCAAAUCCUCAUGAUGUUCAUCUGGAGAUGGGAAAGGUAGUAUUACUUCCACUGUCAAGCUGAUUGAAUAGUGAUAUGUUUCUUCCCAACAAAGUGAUUGACUUGAUUGAUGAAGAUGGGUCUCUGGCUCAACUAUGUCAUGCUCAGAUACUAAGGCAAAUGAAGUGAAGAAAGCUGAGACUGAAGAUGGUCAAUCACUUACUGCCACUGAAUCCAAGAUCUAACAUGAGUCCUGGUUGAGAAAGUCUGAUGAAUCUAGCUAUCUUUCCAAGAUGGGCAGACAGUUCACAAAGGAGUUAUUAUCCGGACGAUUCGAUGUGUUGGGCUCAAGAACUAAAACCUCCCAAUUCAAUGUUAUGAAUUUUCUUUAAAGUAUUCUAUGUACUAAUCUUUUGUAUAGUAUUUUAUUUCAUACUACUUGAUUCUACAUGUAAAAAUCACACUAGGUUGUUUUCGCUGAGAAAAUAUUUGCAAAAUAUGUAUUUAAAAAAUGUAGUUAUGACUUAUAAGUUCUCAUAUUUUUUUUCCU